rnacentral:lncRNA from 1 species
GGUGACAAGUUGGACUCAGGCUUGAGAGCCUGGGUAUGCCCAUUCGAGUCUUGUGCUGGAUUCGGAUCGGGUUAUUGAGUACAAGAUCCAAAUUGACCCAAAAAAUUAAAUGGGUCGGGUCGAGUCUGAAACCAGUAAAUCUAGACCCGACCCGAAAUAUAAAAUGGAUCUAAUUUUAGAAUCCAAUCCGACCCUGCGGGUCCUUUAAAAUGGUUCAGG